rnacentral:snRNA from 1 species
GUGCUCGCUUCGGCAGCACAUAUACUAAAAUUGGAAUGAUAAAGAGAAGAUUAGCAUGGUCUCUGCACAAGGAUGACAUGCAAAUUCAAAAAGUACUGUGGAAAAAU